rnacentral:rRNA from 1 species
GAUGAACGCUGGCGGCGUGCCUAAUACAUGCAAGUCGAGCGAACAGAUGAGGAGCUUGCUCCUCUGACGUUAGCGGCGGACGGGUGAGUAACACGUGGAUAACCUACCUAUAAGACUGGGAUAACUUCGGGAAACCGGAGCUAAUACCGGAUAAUAUAUUGAACCGCAUGGUUCAAUAGUGAAAGACGGUUUUGCUGUCACUUAUAGAUGGAUCCGCGCCGCAUUAGCUAGUUGGUAAGGUAACGGCUUACCAAGGCAACGAUGAGAAGCCGACCUGAGAGGGGGAUGGGCCACACUGGAACUGGGACACGCUCCAGACUCCAACGGAAGGCAGCAGAGGGGAAUCUUGCGCAAUGGGCGAACGCCUAACGGACCAACGCGCCGGGGUGAAGAAGGGUUUUCGGAUCGAAAGACUUGUUUAUUGGGGAGGAACAGAUGUGUAAGUAACUAUGCACGUCUUGACGGUACCUAAUCAGAAAGCCACGGCUAACUACGUG